CCCCGGCACCGCCCCGGCACCGCCCCGGUACCCGCUCGGCAGAGGGGGCGGGCCGGGGAGAGCAGGCGGCGGGCCGGGGCCGGGUGUCCCGCAAGUGGCGCUGCCCUGGCUCCCCUCCGUAGCCCCUGUGGAAUGAACAUUCCUACGGAAUGAAGGCGAGUGAUCCCCGGCUUGUUUUCCCUUUCCAAUAAAAAUAAAUGCAGGUUCUCUUGUGCUCCAAGCAGCUGCAGCAUCUUUCCCAGAUCCCACCCCACCUCUCUGCACCAGCUGCCGAGGGAAUUGCACAGCAGUCUCUGGACACCAAUGACCCAUGAGGGAGGAGGAGAAGCCAGAGGAGCUCCUGUACCUGCUUGCCCUGGGGCAGGAGGUUCAGCGUGCCGUA